CCGGGCACAUCCCCCCACCUGGUGGGUACCGGCAGGAAAAGUGGCCGCACGCCUUGCAAUCCCAGCAUUUCUGUGUUGGUUGUGGCCGUGAACGGGGCUCAAGUCCAAGGACACGCGGGAGCGAGAGAAAGAAAGAGAAAGAUAGAGAGAAAGAGAGAGAGAGAGAGCCGCCUCCUCAAGUGAGCCUAGGAGAAGAGACUUCCCUGCGUGCGGAGUACCGCGACCACAGUUCUACUCUCUGACGCGCAGCACUUUACCCUGAUUUUCCUGACUGGAGAAAGAAAAACGAGACGCGCGCGGACCAACUCUCAAGUCCAGUAUCGUCGUUCCCCAGGAUCUGCUCAAGCCUUCGAGAGUGAGGGUCGAGCGUGAAACAACAACGAUUCCACACGUUCGCGACGUCGUUGCAACCUGAGCGUUCGAUCGAGGCACGACAAUGACACGGCCGUACACUCGUCGACAAUUCUUCGCUUUACUCCUGCUCCUGCAGACCGCCGCCUCGAGAUACGGUCACGCGGUUCACGCGGCUUCCGCGGAAUCGA